rnacentral:lncRNA from 1 species
CGGAAAGGAAGCGCUGGGGGUAGGAGCAGCUGGGGAAGGCCGCAUAUUUCCUGUUGAUGAAAACUGUUUCUGAUCUGGAUUCCCCAGUUUCUUUGGGAGAGCAGAAUGCUUCCAGACUCAGAACUCCCUCUGGACACCUAAAUGGUGCCUGCCUCCCUCUGUCCGCUGGUGGUGCAGAAGAAGCUCAUUGUCCUUCUGCAGAGGAAGCAGAGCCUGCUGCCGCCCUGGACGACAGAGAUGAGCCUACUUCUCGUUCCUGCAUCUGUAAAACAACCAGUAUCCUCCACGACCUCUCCAGGGAGGCUGGAGAAGGAGCUGACAAUAGGAAAGAGAGAAGGUGAUGGAAAGGUGAGACUAAGGAGGGUUGGGGGAGAAGAGAAAAGCCUCCUCCUGAGGUUCUGUGGUGAGAACAGGAAUAACUCGAAGAGACAACUGGGUGCCAGCCAGCGCUGAGCAGGAACCAGCAAGUCCCGGGAGCCCUGGGGAACUCUGACAAGCCGCAGGUGGACAGCACCUGAAGGAAGGUAAAUAUGUCAAACUCCUGUAAGACAGGAGGGGCAGAAAGUUUUAUUGUCACUUUUUUUGGUACCAGUUCCCACCUCCUCCAAGAUGCCUUCCUUGACUACACCUCCUUAUCUCUGAUCGCCCUUGCUUCAUCUCCCAUAGCACAAGGCACCACAGAAUUGAGCACUUAGUUACUUAGUCUGUCCUGGCCAGUCCUCUUUGCCC